rnacentral:rRNA from 1 species
UACGUAGGGGGCGAGCGUUGUCCGGAUUUACUGGGCGUAAAGCGCGUGUAGGCGGCCCAGCAAGUCUGCCGUGAAAGCUCGGGGCUCAACCCCGAGAGGUCGGUGGAAACUGCUGGGCUCGAGGACGGUAGAGGGGGGUGGAAUUCCCGGUGUAGUGGUGAAAUGCGUAGAUAUCGGGAGGAACACCAGUGGCGAAGGCGGCCCCCUGGGCCAUACCUGACGCUAAAGCGCGACAGCAUGGGGAGCAAACGGG